UUGAACGCUGGCGGCAUGCCUUACACAUGCAAGUCGAACGGCAGCACGGGUGCUUGCACCUGGUGGCGAGUGGCGAACGGGUGAGUAAUACAUCGGAACAUGUCCUGUAGUGGGGGAUAGCCCGGCGAAAGCCGGAUUAAUACCGCAUACGAUCUACGGAUGAAAGCGGGGGACCUUCGGGCCUCGCGCUAUAGGGUUGGCCGAUGGCUGAUUAGCUAGUUGGUGGGGUAAAGGCCUACCAAGGCGACGAUCAGUAGCUGGUCUGAGAGGACGACCAGCCACACUGGGACUGAGACACGGCCCAGACUCCUACGGGAGGCAGCAGUGGGGAAUUUUGGACAAUGGGCGAAAGCCUGAUCCAGCAAUGCCGCGUGUGUGAAGAAGGCCUUCGGGUUGUAAAGCACUUUUGUCCGGAAAGAAAUCCUUGGCUCUAAUACAGUCGGGGGAUGACGGUACCGGAAGAAUAAGCACCGGCUAACUACGUGCCAGCAGCCGCGGUAAUACGUAGGGUGCGAGCGUUAAUCGGAAUUACUGGGCGUAAAGCGUGCGCAGGCGGUUUGCUAAGACCGAUGUGAAAUCCCCGGGCUCAACCUGGGAACUGCAUUGGUGACUGGCAGGCUAGAGUAUGGCAGAGGGGGGUAGAAUUCCACGUGUAGCAGUGAAAUGCGUAGAGAUGUGGAGGAAUACCGAUGGCGAAGGCAGCCCCCUGGGCCAAUACUGACGCUCAUGCACGAAAGCGUGGGGAGCAAACAGGAUUAGAUACCCUGGUAGUCCACGCCCUAAACGAUGUCAACUAGUUGUUGGGGAUUCAUUUCCUUAGUAACGUAGCUAACGCGUGAAGUUGACCGCCUGGGGAGUACGGUCGCAAGAUUAAAACUCAAAGGAAUUGACGGGGACCCGCACAAGCGGUGGAUGAUGUGGAUUAAUUCGAUGCAACGCGAAAAACCUUACCUACCCUUGACAUGGUCGGAAUCCCGCUGAGAGGUGGGAGUGCUCGAAAGAGAACCGGCGCACAGGUGCUGCAUGGCUGUCGCCAGCUCGUGUCGUGAGAUGUUGGGUUAAGUCCCGCAACGAGCGCAACCCUUGUCCUUAGUUGCUACGCAAGAGCACUCUAAGGAGACUGCCGGUGACAAACCGGAGGAAGGUGGGGAUGACGUCAAGUCCUCAUGGCCCUUAUGGGUAGGGCUUCACACGUCAUACAAUGGUCGGAACAGAGGGUUGCCAACCCGCGAGGGGGAGCUAAUCCCAGAAAACCGAUCGUAGUCCGGAUUGCACUCUGCAACUCGAGUGCAUGAAGCUGGAAUCGCUAGUAAUCGCGGAUCAGCAUGCCGCGGUGAAUACGUUCCCGGGUCUUGUACUCACCGC
rnacentral:rRNA from 1 species